rnacentral:rRNA from 1 species
GACGAACCGUGCAAACGUUAUUCGGAAUCACUGGGCAUAAAGGGCGCGUAGGCGGCUCCAAAAGUCAGGGGUGAAAUCCGGCAGCUUAACUGUCGCAGUGCCUUUGAUACUGUGGAGCUAGAGGGAUGUAGGGGUCUGUGGAACUUCCGGUGGAGCGGUGAAAUGCGUUGAUAUCGGAAGGAACGCCGGUGGCGAAAGCGACGUGCUGGCCCUCUUCUGACGCUGAGGCGCGAAAGCCAGGGGAGCGAACGGG